UAUUAGAGUUGGCUGAGCAUGAAAACCAUAAUACAUUAUGCCAAGGAAUCUGUUAUCACUGUGAUGUAACACAGAGAAAUGGUCAGAAUAACCAGAAGAAUGGCCAGAAAGAGGUGUGGCCAAGGAUGUAGCCAGAGGACUCUAGAUGAAUGAAGGUAAUCUUGAGGGGAAGGGAGCUCAAAGAGUCUGGAGGCGAAUUUUAAGCCUUUUCAGACUCUACUGCCUUAUUCAUCCUAACUGUUUCAGGAUAUUCCCCUUCCCACAGUGGAGAAGUCUCUAUUAUGUAAUCUUAAAUACAGAUCUAAGCCCAGGAGAUAAAGUGUAUCUAAAAGAUGGGUUCAGUUGUCUGUCACAAGAUUUUGGAAUUGUUUGUCCAAUAAAUUGUGAAGAUUGGAUUUGUCUCUCCCCUGAUUGUAACAAUGAAGGUACUUAGCUCUUCCUUGAUUGUAAACUUGGAAUGAAGAGACACUUGGAGUGAAGAGACAUACUUAGAGUGGAGAGAGACACUUGGAGUGGAGACUGACAAUUUGAAUGGAACCUCCUGUAAGAAGCAGUUCUACUGGAGUUGAGGAUGAUAAAGAAACUGCUGAUUGAACUGACAUGUGGUGCGUGUAAAGGCUGACUUCUUUUCCUUGACUCCUUCCGCUGGCUGGGGCCUUUGAAUUCCUACCUGGAUCAGAGGAAGCUGAAGCUCUUUCUCUCUCUCCAUUUCUUCUCUUUCUCUCUUCCUUAAUAUCUUCCCUCUAUUGUAAAACAAAUUCCAUUCUGACUUUAGUAAUUCAUUUUUGGUAUUUGGUAAUUAAAUCCCUGUUGACCAAUUAAAUAUAUAUAUAUAUAUUCAUAAAUUUAACAAAAUGCAAAU
rnacentral:lncRNA from 1 species